rnacentral:lncRNA from 1 species
AUAGGAUGGUAGCUAAUAGAGGAAUCCUAAAGGUGUUGCAUAGCGAUAGGGUUAUUCUAGAGAAAAAAAAGAGGACAAAAAGAUAUUACUAUCUUGUAGGGAGCCCAGUGUGAGGUGGAGCUUCAGGAGCCAAGUGGAGCUCAGAGCUAGGUGGAGCUCCAGAUGGAGAUGGAUUAGAUACUAGAUUAGAGACUUGGGAG